GAUGAACGCUGGCGGCGUGCCUAAUACAUGCAAGUCGAGCGAACAGAUAAGGAGCUUGCUCCUUUGACGUUAGCGGCGGACGGGUGAGUAACACGUGGAUAACCUACCUAUAAGACUGGGAUAACUUCGGGAAACCGGAGCUAAUACCGGAUAACAUAUUGAACCGCAUGGUUCAAUAGUGAGAGGCGGCUUUGCUGUCACUUAUAGAUGGAUCCGCGCCGUAUUAGCUAGUUGGUAAGGUAACGGCUUACCAAGGCAACGAUACGUAGCCGACCUGAGAGGGUGAUCGGCCACACUGGAACUGAGACACGGUCCAGACUCCUACGGGAGGCAGCAGUAGGGAAUCUUCCGCAAUGGGCGAAAGCCUGACGGAGCAACGCCGCGUGAGUGAUGAAGGUCUUCGGAUCGUAAAACUCUGUUAUCAGGGAAGAACAAAUGUGUAAGUAACUGUGCACAUCUUGACGGUACCUGAUCAGAAAGCCACGGCUAACUACGUG
rnacentral:rRNA from 1 species